rnacentral:rRNA from 1 species
AGAGCGAACGCUGGCGGCAGGCCUAACACAUGCAAGUCGAGCGGCCGUAGCAAUACGGCAGCGGCAGACGGGAGAGUAACACGUGGGAACGCGCCCUUCGGUUCGGAAUAACUCAGGGAAACUUGGGCUAAUACCGGAUAAGCCCUUACGGGGAAAGAUUUAUCGCCGAAAGAUUGGCCCGCGUCUGAUUAGCUAGUUGGUGAGGUAACGGCUCACCAAGGCGACGAUCAGUAGCUGGUCUGAGAGGAUGAUCAGCCACAUUGGGACUGAGACACGGCCCAAACUCCUACGGGAGGCAGCAGUGGGGAAUAUUGGACAAUGGGCGCAAGCCUGAUCCAGCCAUGCCGCGUGAGUGAUGAAGGCCCUAGGGUUGUAAAGCUCUUUUGUGCGGGAAGAUAAUGACGGUACCGCAAGAAUAAGCCCGGCUAACUUCGCGCCAGCAGCCGC